CGUCGGCGUCGUGGACUACGUGUACAUGCGCGUAUGCUUUCGAGCACGCGCGCGCACACUCGUUCUACUCGGUUGGUUGCGUGUGUGCAUUGGGACUCACACGCGCUGCCUCGUGUAUGUCUGCGAGAAGAGCCAAACGAAGGGAGGCAAGCCAGUAAGCUCAGGCGCGCCGGAGCGGCGAGAGAGCAGCCAUUUUACUCGAACGCGGGUGGUAAACGCCGUGCACACCACCUGACGCCUCGCGUCUAUUCUCUCUCUCUCUCUCUCUCUCUCUCUCUCUCUUUCUCUUUCUCUUCUUCUUCUUCUUCUUUCUAUAUAUCUCUCUCUCUCUCUCUCUGUCUCUCUCUUCCACUCUCCCUCUCUAUCUCUUUCUCUGUCUGUUUCUAUAUCUGUCUCUGUCUCGUCUUAUUUUCUCUUUUCCUUAUUUACACUAAUAAAUACACGUGAUAAAUACGCCUGGUCGUCUACUCUAUUUCAUCGUAUGCGAAUUAAAGUCGUCUACAAGGAGCGAGAGGGAAAAGAGGGAGAGAGGGACGUCCAACGAACGCGAGGAGGUGCUGUACUCCUCUCGUAGCCACCACGAGUUGUUCGUGAAAGAUGUGACAUCAGCAGUGUUUUAAUAAGGAAGGACCAAAGAAGGAUUACGUCCAUUGACGUGUCCACGUCCACGGGGUAGUGACGACAUCGG